AAUGUUGGUUUUGUUAUUUGCUUUUGAAAAUUUCUCCACUUGUUUUAGGCUUACCAUAAUAGCAGGAAAAUACCCUGUGCUUGCAGAAAUAAGUCUUCUCGUGCUGUGUAGUUGAUUUAUGCUUGUUUCAAAUAUAGGUCCUGUCCAUUAGGUGGGCCUUGUAGUGAACGUGUGAAUUCAGGUUGGUUGUCAUUAGCUAAAGGAUAACUGGGUUUCUACCUACCCAUAAUUUGUAUCUGGGUAGCUAAAGCUAAUGUGGUUGUCAUUAGCUGAAGGACAACUGGGUUACUAUCAUGUGGGCAACACUCGCAAAUUCUUCAACUCAAAAUCCUAGGUAUGUGGAUCCACUCAAUAUAACUGCAAUGACAUGUCCCACACUAUCGUUAUGCCCUCUGGCAAUAGCAGAAGCAGAGCGUGGAAUUCCUGACAUUCUCAAGUGGGUUCGAGCUGUAUUUGAUAAGGCAAGCCAUAAAGCUAUAUACUCAUUCAUGUUUUUUUUUUUUUUUUUGUGUAAUUCAAAAUUGAA